GUGCAGCAGGCGAGAAUUUUUCUCAAUGGGGGAAACCCUGAAGGAGCGACGCCGCGUGGAGGAUGAAGGUCUUCGGAUUGUAAACUCCUGUCAUUUGGGAACAAUUGUCACCGAUUAACUGUCGGGGGCUUGAUAGUACCAGAAGAGGAAGAGACGGCUAAUUCUGUGCCAGCAGCCGCGGUAAUACAGAGGUCUCAAGCGUUGUUCGGAUUCAUUGGGCGUAAAGGGUGCGUAGGUGGCGGGGUUAGUCUGGUGUGAAAUCUCGGAGCUCAACUCCGAAACUGCACUGGAUACUGCCUUGCUUGAGUACUGGAGAGGAGAUUGGAAUUUACGGUGUAGCAGUGAAAUGCGUAGGUAUCGUAAGGAAGACCAGUGGCGAAGGCGAAUCUCUGGACAGUUACUGACACUGAGGCACGAAGGCCAGGGGAGCAAACGGGAUUAGAUACCCCUGUAGU
rnacentral:rRNA from 1 species